rnacentral:rRNA from 1 species
UUCGGCCUGGCGGCGAGUGGCGAACGGGUGAGUAAUACAUCGGAACGUGCCCUGUCGUGGGGGAUAACUAGUCGAAAGAUUAGCUAAUACCGCAUACGACCUGAGGGUGAAAGCGGGGGACCGCAAGGCCUCGCGCGAUAGGAGCGGCCGAUGUCUGAUUAGCUAGUUGGUGGGGUAAAGGCCUACCAAGGCGACAAUCAGUAGCUGGUCUGAGAGGACGAUCAGCCACACUGGGACUGAGACACGGCCCAGACUCCUACGGGAGGCAGCAGUGGGGAAUUUUGGACAAUGGGGGCAACCCUGAUCCAGCAAUGCCGCGUGUGUGAAGAAGGCCUUCGGGUUGUAAAGCACUUUUGUCCGGAAAGAAAUGGGCCUGGCUAAUACCCGGGGUCGAUGACGGUACCGGAAGAAUAAGCACCGGCUAACUACGUGCCAGCAGCCGCGGUAAUACGUAUGGUGCGAGCGUUAAUCGGAAUUACUGGGCGUAAAGCGUGCGCAGGCGGUUUGAUAAGACAGGCGUGAAAUCCCCGGGCUCAACCUGGGAAUGGCGCUUGUGACUGCGUAGGAUAUAGUGCGUCACAGGGGGGUAGAAUUCCACGUGUAGCACUGAAAUGCGUACAGAUGUGGAAGAAUACCGAUAGCGAACGCGGCCCCCUGGGACGAGACUGACGCUCAUGCACGAAAACGUGUGGAGCAAACAGGAUUAAAUACCCUGGUAGUCCACGCCCUAAACAAUGUCAACUACUUGUUGGGGAUUCAUUUCUUCAGUAACGUAGCUAACGCGUGAAGUUGACCGCCUGGGGAGUACGGUCGCAAGAUUAAAACUCACAGGAAUUGACGGGGACCCGCACAAGCGGUGGAUGAUGUGGAUUAAUUCGAUGCAACGCGCAAAACCUUACCUACCCAUGACAUGCCACUAACGAAGCAUAAUGCAUUACGUGCCCGAAAGGGAAAGUGGACACAGGUGCUGCAUGGCUGUCCUCAGCUCGUGUCGUGAGAUGUUGGGUUAUGUCCCGCAACGAGGGCAACCCUCGUCCCUAGUUGCUACGCA